UGGGAUAUGAGCAAACGUGUAC
rnacentral:miRNA from 1 species